UUACUAUUUAUUUUAGUGUGACUUGUUUAUAGUUUCUAAAAUUUUAUUGGUUUAUUAAAAUUGAAAACAUAAGCGUUGAUUACUAUAAUUCUAGCUAUAGCAUCUUUUAAUGAUAGUGAUCAAUCGAUCAUCUCAAAUAUAUCAAACGCAAUGUCAGGCAAAGUUGCAAUUAACCAUCUUACCAUAAGCAAACUGUGUGACAUAUAAGAGGAAAGUUUGAAUAAGCUAAACUGCCAUUUACACGCUCUUGAUAUAAUUGCUACCUCAUGGCUGUGUAUGAUUGUAUGGCAUUUAAAAUAGUUUUGGCUAUGAACAAGUUGAGGUUUAAACAUGGCAAAGGUGAUU